rnacentral:rRNA from 1 species
GGAGGCAGCAGUGGGGAAUAUUGGACAAUGGGCGCAAGCCUGAUCCAGCAAUGCCGCGUGAGUGAUGAAGGCCUUCGGGUUGUAAAGCUCUUUCGCACGCGACGAUGAUGACGGUAGCGUGAGAAGAAGCCCCGGCUAACUUCGUGCCAGCAGCCGCGGUAAUACGAAGGGGGCUAGCGUUGUUCGGAAUUACUGGGCGUAAAGGGCGCGUAGGCGGUACUUCAAGUCAGGCGUGAAAGCCCCGGGCUCAACCUGGGAACCGCGCUUGAGACUGGAGAACUAGAGUUCGGGAGAGGAUGGUGGAAUUCCCAGUGUAGAGGUGAAAUUCGUAGAUAUUGGGAAGAACACCGAUGGCGAAGGCAGCCAUCUGGACCGACACUGACGCUGAGGCGCGAAAGCGUGGGGAGCAAACAGGAUUAGAUACCCUGGUAGUCCACGCCGUAAACGAUGAGUGCU